rnacentral:rRNA from 1 species
CAGUAGCCGCGGUAAAACCAGCACCUCGAGUGGUCAGGAGGUUUAUUGGGCCUAGAGCAUCCGUAGCCGGUUGCAUAAGUUUUCGGUUAAAUCUAUGCGCUUAACGUAUAGGCCGCCGAAAAUACUGUGCAGCUAGGGAGUGGGAGAGGUACACGGUACUCGAUAGGAAGGGGUAAAAUCCUUUGAUCUAUUGAUGACCACCUGUGGCGAAGGCGGUGUACCAGAACACGUUCGACGGUGAGGGAUGAAAGCUGGGGGAGCAAACCGGAUUAGAUACCCGGGUAGUCCCUGUCUCUUAUAC